UAACUGACGCAUAGUCUAUGAAUAGUUUAUAGUUCUGACUCGCGGGUCGUCUUCAAUGAGGCGCUGCUAACAAAAGAGUCACGCAAAACUCCAGAUGCAGCUCUGUCCAGCUCAUCCUCGCUCUGCCGCUGGCCGCUCACACCACGGAAAAGCAGUCGCUAUCAGCAUUGAAAUGCUCCCGCUUUGGAUCGCUGGGGACAAGCAUUUGACUGAAUGUCUGGCAGCUGACGUGACGCCUGGUACAGUGAAGCCGAGAACUGCCAAAUGCUUUGCCUUCAUCUCUCGGUGGCGGGGGCUGCUGUGAAUGGGACUCUCUCCGCCCGUGUCACCGGGGACUCGGCGUUCUCAGCGCCCGCUCAAGGUCGAGGGGACAGAGCCGUGCCGGGAGGACAGCUGCUGGCCCUGGUCAGCCCACCCUGCCGGACAGUGACCGGCAGCGAGCCCCCAGGGAAGCGGCUGCACCGACCCCGGCUUCCCGCGGUGGCCGGGGGGGGACCGGCGGAGAUCCGGCGGAGCGGGCGGCCGGCGGGGAUCCGGCGGAGCGGCGCCAACCGCCCGGGGAGGUGAGGGGCGAAGCGGUGAGAGCGGAGCCGGCGGCCGGCAUGAGGAGGGAGCGGAACCCGGGAGACCCUCGCCCGAGGCGCGCCGGCGGCGAGGAAACUCGGGCGGGGGAGAAUGGAUCUCGCGGGCUUCGCUUAACGGGCGAGUCGCCCGCCGGAUUUUCCGGCUAUGAAACCGUCGUGGGCUCGGAUAUUUACGGGAGUUUCAGUGAUUUUGAUCGUAAUGGUGGCAAAAUCGGAUCCACCAGUGAGACUGACCUUUUCCGACCCUCCUUUGGAUCGCAAUUGCGGGGUAAGGACGGCGGUACUGAACUGGUUGGAAAUACAGGGCGAAGGGAAACUGACUCUGAUCUGUUGUGGGGUGAUUUCCAGCCGGGCACGAAUGACGAGGUGCAUUUCAUCACCACGCAUGAAAUCCAAUUGUAUGAACUGGACCAUGACGGGGAUUGUGAGUUUGGGCUGGGAUCUUCCUGUGCUCUGGAGGAGAGCAGCAUCGUCUAUUCCUUCCUGGACAGCAGCUCGUUGGAAAGCGAUGCAUCCGAGGAAGGCUCGGAGACCCCGCGUGGCACCAGCUGCGCCGGUGAAACGCCGCCGGUUUCGGGCGCAGCGGAGGAGGCGCCCGGACAGGAAAUUCCGAGAAAUGGAGAGAGUGUAGCGGGCGGAGGGCGCCCGGCAGAGGCGCAGCAGCCUGGCAGCGCCGGUUCCACCGGGCACAUCCACCUGUCCAUCAGGGCAAGUUCGCGGGCGGUGGGCGAAAAUCGCGGCGACCAGGAAAAGGGGAAGGUCGCUUGCGCCCGUACCCGAGAGGAGGAGACGGAGCAACAUUUGCGGGGAAAUUCGGAAUGUUUGACCGGGGGAGCCAGGGCGGAUAGAGCGAAGUUCGCAGCUAAAAGCGAGGUGGGGGGCAAAGGUUUGGAGUUUUACAGCGGCAGCUCCAGCGCCGUGAGUGAACUGGACGAUGCGGACAAGGAAGUUGGCAGUCUAACUGCCAGAGCUUUCCACAGUCUCGCCUGUCCGGGUGAUGAAUAUUUUGACACUUACUGCCCCGGUGAUCGAUCAACCGGUUUGUCAUCGCUGUCAGAGCAGAGCAUUGGUUUGAACCGCUGGGCUGAAUAUGUCGACGCUCAUCGUCGCAACGCAACGGAGGACAGAAAUCCGAGCGAAUUUCCUGGCGGGAAACCAGCGUUAGCCGCUGGCCCGCCGAGAGCGGAGGCCCCGAGCAACAAGGGGCCACAGGCGCCCACCGGCUUGGAAGGGAAACACCUACCGGUUAAAGAUGCGGCUAGCGCCGUUCACGAGAAGCAGGAAAAGCCGGCGGAAGCCUCAUCAGGGGUUCAAACCAAAAGGCGCAUCCAGGUGACUGGCAAAUUUGAGGAGAUUGGAUCCAGGGUCAUUACAUUAACAGAGACUUUAAAUUUCAACUAUGAUGUGAAGGAGCAGAUCCCAGCCGGGAGAGAGAGCCAGAGGAGUGUCCAUCCAAUGGUCAGGAAUUCCGGAGGAUCGCGUUGCGCCGAUGGGGUUACGGAAGCGGCGCCAAGGGAGCAGGGAGGCGAUAAGGAGACAUGGAGAGCGGUCGGAGACAUGGAGAGCACACAGAAAAAAUCCAAAUUCGCCUCCAAUCUCUUACAGAGUGUGAUUUGGAAGAAAAUGCAAUAUGAGCAGGAGUUGAGGAUGGAGAGGGGGGAGAUUACCGACACCUCGUUCGCCGGUCGGACGAGCCCGUCCCUCAGCUCGGAAUUUCCCAAAGCGGCGACGCGGGAUGCGGACCCGGGGGAUUUGCAAAAAGCCAACUGCAACCAGUUCAGCGGCGGCGGUGGGAGCGGGAGCCCGGAAUCUUCCCCUGUCCCGGGGGAAGUUUGCGGCGAAGCGGCCAAAGGUACGACCCAGGGCUCGGUGACCACCGGCCGCAACUUUCCGGCCCCAGCAACAGCAGCGGCGGCAGCGGCAGCUGGCGAUUUGGUGAAGGCGGCUGGCGAGACUUAUAAGGGGAGUUUGUUUCAGAGUCAGCACAGCGCGUUCAGAUCCUGGAAAGAGGGAGAGUGCAAAAGGCAGCAGAGCGAGGACAGAGAGACCAGAGAGAACAAAGCGGGCCAGCGGGUGCGGGCGCAGCUUGGGCGGCAGGCUCUGUGCAAAGAACGGAAAAUGUCCCACCUCUUUGUGCCGAGCAUUCAGAGAGCGGCGAAGGGGACGGGGGCGGGGGAGAGGGCAAAACGCACGACACAGCCUCAGGGAGGAGGACAUUUACCCCCGAAAGGGGCAGCAGGAGAGGGGGCCGCUGCCGACGGCCAGGCCGCCCCUUGCAGGUCGCCAGAAAUCCGGAUCAAACUGCGGAGCCGCAAGGAGAGCAAGCCCAGUCCAUUCAGCAUUGCCAAGCUGCUGACUCCCAAGAUAGGAGGGAAUGUGGGCAACCUGCCGGGCAGGUCAGCUGAUGACCCCAAAUACCAGGCGCUCUCCAUGUCGUUUCUAGAAGAGGCGCUGCAGGGAGGCGAGGAGAAGAUCAGAGCGCCUCAGUUCACCGUGCGGGACAUAAGGGACAAUAUCCACAGGCUGCAGGCGCCCAUCCACCAGGUCAGGGACGUUAAGAAGUUGGUCAAAAGCUCUUAUCACAUCUUAACGCUGGAAGGCAGCAAACUGCACGGCAACGAGCAGCUGCCCAUCGUCAUUAAGUGCCAGGCGGUCAGCAGGAAGGACCUGCCCGGCGCUCUGAAGCCGGUGACCGAGGAGAGAGGCGGCAGCAAGGCCGGUAGCUCGAGCCCGAGUCCGGACAGUAGCCCGAGUAUGAAGAACGGCUCCGCCUUUGUGCACCGGGCGUCCGGCCGCGUCCCGCUCAAGGAGGCGGCGGGCGGCGGCGGCGGCGGCGUCAGGAGAGCGGCGGGAAGCCCGCCCGCCGCCGCGGGAGCGGAGAAGCCGCCGCCCAGCGCCGGCGGCAAGGUGGCCAGCAAGCAGCUGGCCCUGGAGAAGCUAACGGCGGCCGUGAAGACCAUGGAGGAGCUCUACGUCUUCGACAAGAACGAGUGGAAACGGAAGAGUGAGUCCGGCCCCGGUUCGCUGGCCGGUAGCCACGUCCUGUCCCUGAUCGCCAGCGAGGAGGCUUCAGGCCCCGAGCGGGAGAGGGAGCGGGAGGGGCCGGCCCGACCUCCCGGGCAGGAUCCCGCUCGCAAGGCUGAACCCGCCGCUCCGACAAAGCCCCCGGGGGCCCCCCCGAGCCUCCAGCCUGGUAGCAAGUGCACCGUCCCGCAGCUCUUCACCGUGGCCCCGGUGCUGCUGCCGCCGCCGCCGCCGCUCAGCCAGUCCGCCCGAGAGUCAAAACCCGCCCGCGUCAGGUCCCCGCCGGCUCCGGCUCCGCCUCCGCCGCCGCCCGAAUUUCGCUCGCUGCGGGCGCCCCGCCGCCAGUCCCUGGAGGAGAGCGAGAAGCAGAGCAAAGCGGCCGCGGCGAUGCCAACCCCGGCGGACAGCAAGAGCUGCUCCCAGUACCAGCAGCAGUCGCUACCCUCUGAAUACGAGAACUACCUCACCAUCCCCAUAAAGCAGCCCCCUGCACCGCUACCUGCCACCACCUACUCCCUGCAGAGCCCCAGCCCCAAACACCAGCGGGUACCGUCCCCAGCCACCAUCUACCACCAGCCUGCGCCUCAGCGCAUCGCCUUCAGCCCACCUCGGGCGCAGCCUCCAGAGCGGAUCAGCCCAAUUAAGGUGCAGCAGCCGGUGCUGGUGGAGAGCCCCCCGGUGCCCUGCUUCCCGGCUCCGCACACGCAGCGCAAGAUGUUGCUGGACCCCACCACCGGGCAGUACUACCUGGUCGACACGCCCAUGCCGCCGGCCCACAAGCGGCUGUACGACCCGGAGACCAGGCAGUACGUGGAUGUGCCCAUGCCGCAGCAGCCCCUGGCCCCCAUGUCAGUGCCCAUGUCCCCCAUCGCAAUCAACCCUGGCACCUACGGCACCACCUACAUGAUCUACCCCGGAUUCCUUCCCACGCCAACCAUGCUGCCCACGCUACAGACUCAGCUCUCCCGGCCAGAGAAUGAAUGCAAUGAGAGCAGGAAGGCCAACAGUACUGUGAGCCAGCACAGCGAAGCCCACUACAUGGAAAGCCCUUACUACUUCCCAACUGGGAAAUCCUUGAACCGUACACAGACUCUGACCUCUCAGCACAUAACCGGGGCCUCCAAGGGCUUCUCAGAUAGCAAACCAGUGAUCAGCAUCACAUCGCAGCCAGGGCCAAGAAUCAUAGCCCCACCUUCCUUCGAUGGAACCACCAUGAGUUUCGUCGUGGAGCACAGAUGAAAGCUCUGGCACGCCUAAUAGGCAAGAGGAGCAAACGCGCCCCUCCCAGCUCCACAGUGCCCCUGGCACCAGGGGACCAGAACAGGAUGCAGUGCUCGAGGGACUGGCUGACCAGAGCAUUGAGGAGAUGAGAAUGAAGAAUGUUGUUUGAAGACUGCUUUACAAUGCAAAACAACUUCUUAAAACUUCCUUAGGAUUUUUCUGUUCUCACGUGUAGUUAUGUGUGUUUAAUAUAAUUUCUUUACUGUUCAAAAAAAAAUUUUGGCAGCAUGUAUAAAUAUUUUAUGCCAGAGCAUUCAAUGCCCUUUUAUUUUAACUACUGAAAACACUAUAUGACUGUGCUUUUGCUCAUCAUUUUGCUAUUAAAGAUGGUAACUGGUUUGUCAUUGAAGUGAACCUUGUGCAUGACAGCACUUUGAUGGUGAAAAGGUUAAUUGCAGUUAGUCACAGAUAAUUUAAUACUCGGCCUUAAAAGGCCUUUAAGGAAUAAUUCAGUGACCCUGCUUGAACUUGUGCACAUUUGACACCUGCGCAAUGCCAGAGCGUUCAAGAAAAUAUUAUUAACAGUCGAGCCCUAACUUUCUUUCUCUGUAAUAAACUGUGAAAUAGGUAAUUCAGCGAAGGAUAAUCAAAUUUAUAACAAUUCCACCUGAACCAUACCUCAAUUUAAACUUUAUUAAAGAUUUAAAGCAGUAUCUAGUAAUAGAGCUGUGCAAAAAAAAAAAUACAGUAUCUAACCUACAGAUUAUUUGUCUGGUUUUAGUUUUCAUACAAAUUAUUUGAUUUGGGCUUUCUGAUUCCUAAUAAUGGCUGUUUACUCAUGACUUUGUGACAAUACCCAGUUGUACAGUAGUGACUUAGCUUGAUGCUGUUUGCUUUUUUAAGCAAAGACUUUUGUAAGGAAAAGCAGAUACCUUUGGUGUCCACUCUGACAGUUAUCCAGUGUAAGCACACCUAAUGGUUAACUGGCACCAGGCAUGAUAGCAUAGAUACGAAAGAAGCAGUGGACAUUAUUCAUAAUGAUAGUAACUUGAAGCCCUUGGCAUUUUAUGUCAUAGCCCCUCUCCUUGGUGCUCUGCCACUUAUACAUUGGCCAGAAUCUUAUGUCCUCGGCCCAGGGCAGGAUGAAAUCUCCGCGGAGAAAUAUAAAAAAGCAAUUCCCAGAUAUCCCUCUUUUUAUUUAGAGGUAUGCUAUCAGGCGCUUGUUUGUGCUGUGCAUGGACAUAUUUUGCAGCAUUUUUGUUUUGAAAAUUCUCUGGAGGUUUGCGGCUCCCUGAAGCAGACAGCUGGCUUCAGGGAACUCAGUGGAAGCGCUCACCAGCACCAUCAGCGCCCGCCCUCUUCACCACCGCCGGCAGUGCUGAGCCUUUCUCCACGUGCAUUUCAUGCUGGCUGUCCCGAUCGUGGUCGG